UGUGCUCGUAGCCUUUAUAGGAAAUGUUCC
rnacentral:piRNA from 1 species